ensembl:lncRNA
CGGGGGUUUAGUCAUCUUCUUCUUGCUCGAUUAGGAUUUUAUUUUGAAGGUGCUGACAGGAAGUGGUUCUUCCUCCCCGCAGCUUGACGGUGGGAACCGCGAGGAGCUCGAUGGUGACUGUGCACGUCGCUGUGUGAAUGACAGAGGAUGCAUGGAGGUCUCCGGCAGCUGGCAGCCACAGAUCCGUGUCCUCCUCGGUGCAGCAGCGGCGGCAGCGGGCGUCCUCUCCGCGGGCUCUUCCACCUGAGCCAGCGGCAUCAUGGGAAGCUCCUCCUCCUCCCUCGUUGACGAGGCGGAGGACGAUGCGGCGCCCCGGGGUGCAGCUCUGCCUCCCUCCCCCAUCAUGGGAUGCCUGAGGAGCAGCCAAAGCACAUUCCUCCCCCGGCAGCUUCCCAGACCGGGCC